GACGAACGCUGGCGGCGUGCCUAAUACAUGCAAGUCGAGCGAGCAAUUUUAGCAGAAUACCUUCGGGUAGGAAGCUAAGAGCGCGAGCGGCGGAUGGGUGAGUAACACGUGGGCAACCUACCCUUUAGCUGGGGAUACCACUUGGAAACAGGUGCUAAUACCGAAUAAGAAGCAAGAGCGCAUGCUCACGCUAUGAAAGGCGGCUUUAAGCUGUCACUAAAGGAUGGGCCAGCGGUGCGUUAGCUAGUUGGUAAGGUAACGGCUUACCAAGGCGAUGAUGCAGAGCCGAGUUGAGAGACUGAACGGCCACAUUGGGACUGAGACACGGCCCAAACUCCUACGGGAGGCAGCAGUAGGGAAUCUUCCACAAUGGACGCAAGUCUGAUGGAGCAACGCCGCGUGAGUGAAGAAGGUUUUCGGAUCGUAAAGCUCUGUUGUUGGUGAAGAAGGAUAAGGAUAGUAACUGAUUCAUAUUUGACGGUAAUCAACCAGAAAGUCACGGCUAACUACGUGCCAGCAGCCGCCGUAA
rnacentral:rRNA from 1 species